GUCGGCUCUUCUAUGAGGGGUAGUCACAGCCCACUUGCGGCACCUCCGUGGCGGCCUCCACCUUCAUCGCGGUGCUGUAGGGUCUUGCAUUAGCUUCCGGAUCUUGAGAGGGCCCAAAGCCGUGAAACAUCAGGGACCAGGGCUGCGAAUACCCUUGGGACCUUUGUCCAAGACACAGGCUCUUCCCUUUCAGGAGUCUUAUGGCCUCUAGCCUGCUUUUAAACCGUUCUUUUUACCCCUGUUAUCCCCUCCUCCCGAUUCUCUUAACUCAGUACCUCUCUGGCCUUAAGGAGAGGAAAUACGCAAGAUGAGGUACGCAAACGAGUGUUGGGUAACCAGGUAUGUGAAUGAGCAGGGGCUGAGAACCCAAUUAAUUAUACCACAAAGCCUCCUGAAGGCACACAUGGUCUUUGGUUCCGUAAUUACUUCACUGCUGUCAGGCAGUGGGCCGAAAGAGUUUCUUCGGAGCUCUCCAAAACCUCACCGUCUCACCUUUACUUGGCAAAGGGACUUUGUAUCAGAAAACUGUUUUUGGAUUAUAGAGCUAGGAGCCCUCAAGCGAUUGAGGCAGUCCCACAGCAGUCAGGAGAUGAGAAAACUGAGGUCAGAAAGGUAAACUGAGAAGCCUGUUUUGGAAGAGAAGUGCAAGUAUGUGAUAUCCAGAAUGCUCACCAGCAAACACCCUGGGGAUUUGUGCUCACCAGGAACCACCGACAGCUCUGGAGGUCCUUCAGCAAAGGUAUGUUGAGGACUUUCCCGGUGGUCCAGUGGUUGGGAGUCCGCCUGCCAGUGCAGGGGACACGUGUUUGAUCCCUGGUUCAGGGGAACUCCUCAUGCCGUCGGGCCCAAGUGCUGCAACUACCGAGCCCGCAAGCUGCAACUAUUGCAGUCUGUGUGCCCUAGACCUCACAUGCCACAAGAGAAGCCGCAGCAACGAGAAGCCCACACACCACAGCUAGAGAAAGCCCACAUGCAGUAACAAAAACCCAGCACAGAAAAAUAACCAAUAAAUAUUUUUUAAAAAAGAUUUAUUGAGUACUU
rnacentral:lncRNA from 1 species